UUCCGGCAGGAUCAACCGGAACGCGCAAGCGCCAGAGGGUGAGUCUGCGGCCUAUCAGGUAGUAGGUGGUGUAACGGACCACCUAGCCUAAGACGGGUACGGGCCUUGAGAGAGGGAGCCCGGAGAUGGGUUCUGAGACACGAACCCAGGCCCUACGGGGCGCAGCAGGCGCGAAACCUUCGCACUGCGCGAAAGCGCGACGAGGGGAACCCGAGUGCCUCUCCAUUUCGGGGAGGCUUUUCACAAGCCUAAAAAGCUUGUGGAAUAAGGGCUGGGCAAGACGGGUGCCAGCCGCCGCGGUAAUACCCGCAGCUCGAGUGGUGGUCGCUUUUAUUGAGCCUAAAACGUUCGUAGUCGGCCUUGUAAAUCCCUGGGUAAAUUGGGCCGCUUAACGGUUCAAAUUCCGGGGAGACUGCAAGGCUAGGGACCGGGCGAGGUCAGAGGUACUUUCGGGGUAGGAGUGAAAUCCUGUAAUCCCGAAGGGACCACCUGUGGCGAAAGCGUCUGACUUGAACGGCUCCGACGAUGAGGAACGAAGGCUAGGGGAGCAAACCGGAUUAGAUACCCGGGUAGUCCUAGCUGUAAACUCUGCCCGCUUGGUGUGGCCUGUCCUUCGGGGGCAGGCCGUGCCGGAGCGAGGGUGUUAAGCGGGCUGCUUGGGGAGUACGGCCGCAAGGUUGAAACUUAAAGGAAUUGGCGGGGGAGCACCGCAACGGGAGGAUGCGUGCGGUUUAAUUGGAUUCAACGCCGGAAAACUCACCUGAGGAGACCAGCGUAUGUGGGUCAAGCCGAAGACUUUACCCGAACAACAGCUGGAGAGGUGGUGCAUGGCCAUCGUCAGCUCGUACCGUAGGGCAUUCACUUAAGUGUGAUAACGAGCGAGACCCCCAUCCCUAGUUGCUAACCCCUCCGAAAGGAGGGGUGCACUCUAGGGAGACCGCUUCCGCUAAGGAAGAGGAAGGAGGGGUCGACGGUAGGUCAGUAUGCCCCGAAUCCUCAGGGCAACACGCGCGCUACAAAGGACAGGACAAUGGGUUCCAACCCCGAAAGGGGAAGGUAAUCCCGAAACCUGUUCGUAGUCCGGAUUGAGGGCUGUAACUCGCCCUCAUGAAGGUGGAUUCCGUAGUAAUCGCGGAUCAACAGUCCGCGGUGAAUAUGCCCCUGCUCCCUU
rnacentral:rRNA from 1 species